rnacentral:rRNA from 1 species
UACGUAGGGUGCGAGCGUUAAUCGGAAUUACUGGGCGUAAAGUGUGCGCAGGCGGCCGCGCAAGUCGAGUGUGAAAGCCCCCGAGCUUAACUUGGGAAUUGCGCUCGAAACUACGUGGCUGGAGUGUGGCAGAGGAAGGUGGAAUUCCAGGUGUAGCGGUGAAAUGCGUAGAGAUCUGGAGGAACACCGAUGGCGAAGGGCAGCCUUCUGG